GAUGAACGCUGGCGGCGUGCCUAAUACAUGCAAGUCGAGCGAACAGACGAGGAGCUUGCUCCUCUGACGUUAGCGGCGGACGGGUGAGUAACACGUGGAUAACCUACCUAUAAGACUGGGAUAACUUCGGGAAACCGGAGCUAAUACCGGAUAAUAUAUUGAACCGCAUGGUUCAAUAGUGAAAGACGGUUUUGCUGUCACUUAUAGAUGGAUCCGCGCCGCAUUAGCUAGUUGGUAAGGUAACGGCUUACCAAGGCAACGAUGCGUAGCCGACCUGAGAGGGUGAUCGGCCACACUGGAACUGAGACGCGGUCCAGACUCCUACGGGAGGCACCAGUAGGGAAUCUUCCGCAAUGGGCGAAAGCCUGACGGAGCAACGCCGCGUGAGUGAUGAAGGUCUUCGGAUCGUAAAACUCUGUUAUUAGGGAAGAACAAAUGUGUAAGUAACUAUGCACGUCUUGACGGUACCUAAUCAGAAAGCCACGGCUAACUACGUG
rnacentral:rRNA from 1 species